rnacentral:rRNA from 1 species
UGAGGAAUAUUGGUCAAUGGGCGCAAGCCUGAACCAGCCAUCCCGCGUGAAGGAUGAAGGCCCUAUGGGUCGUAAACUUCUUUUAUACACCAAGAAAAAGCAGGACGUGUCCUGCCCCGACGGUAGUGUAUGAAUAAGCAUCGGCUAACUCCGUGCCAGCAGCCGCGGUAAUACGGAGGAUGCGAGCGUUAUCCGGCUUCAUUGGGUUUAAAGGGUGCGUAGGCGGCUUUUUAAGUCAGUGGUGAAAUCUUGCCGCUUAACGGUAAAAUUGCCAUUGAUACUGAUAAGCUUGAGUACAAUUGAGGUAAGCGGAAUGUGUAGUGUAGCGGUGAAAUGCUUAGAUAUGACACAGAACACCGAUCGCGAAGGCAGCUCACUAAGCUAAAACUGACGCUCAUGCACGAAAGCGUGGGGAUCAAACA